GCGGAGGUAGCCCAGCCUGGCAAGGCGCAGGAUUGCUAAUCCUGUGUCCGCGAGGACUCGGGGGUUCAAAUCCCCCCCUUCGCA
rfam:Methanomassiliicoccales archaeon RumEn M1 contig00013, whole genome shotgun sequence.